rnacentral:rRNA from 1 species
GCACAGGUGCUGCAUGGCCGUCGUCAGCUCGUGCCGUGAGGUGUUGGGUUAAGUCCCGCAACGAGCGCAACCCCGCCGUUAGUGCCAGCGGUUCGGCCGGGCACUCUAACGGGACUGCCCGCGAAAGCGGGAGGAAGGAGGGACGACGUCUGGUCAGCAUGGCCCUUAUGUCCAGGGCUACACACGUGCUACAAUGGCCGGUACAAAGGGCAGCAAAGCCGCGAGGUGGAGCCAAUCCCAUAAAGCCGGUCUCAGUUCGGAUUGGAGUCUGCAACUCGACUCCAUGAAGUUGGAAUCGCUAGUAAUCGCGGAUCAGCAUGCCGCGGUGAAUACGUUCCCGGGCCUU